rnacentral:ncRNA from 2 species
UAUUUAGAAGGGAACGAUGAAAUAAAUCUUAAUUUGGGCACUUUAGAUUUAUGGAGUUAGUAGUGCAACCGACCUCAGUUG